GACGAACGCUGGCGGCGUGCUUAACACAUGCAAGUCGAACGGUAAGGCCCUUCGGGGUACACGAGUGGCGAACGGGUGAGUAACACGUGGGUGAUCUGCCCUGCACUUCGGGAUAAGCCUGGGAAACUGGGUCUAAUACCGGAUAGGACCCUGGGAUGCAUGUCCUGGGGUGGAAAGCUUUUGCGGUGUGGGAUGGGCCCGCGGCCUAUCAGCUUGUUGGUGGGGUGAUGGCCUACCAAGGCGACGACGGGUAGCCGGCCUGAGAGGGUGACCGGCCACACUGGGACUGAGAUACUGCACAGACUCCUACGGGAGGCAGCAGUGGGGAAUAUUGCACAAUGGGCGCAAGCCUGAUGCAGCGACGCCGCGUGAGGGAUGACGGCCUUCGGGUUGUAAACCUCUUUCAGCACCGACGAAGCGCAAGUGACGGUAGGUGCAGAAGAAGGACCGGCCAACUACGUGCCAGCCGCCACGGUAA
rnacentral:rRNA from 1 species